GAUGAACGCUGGCGGCGUGCCUAAUACAUGCAAGUCGAGCGAACAGACGAGGAGCUUGCUCCUCUGACGUUAGCGGCGGACGGGUGAGUAACACGUGGAUAACCUACCUAUAAGACUGGGAUAACUUCGGGAAACCGGAGCUAAUACCGGAUAAUAUAUUGAACCGCAUGGUUCAAUAGUGAAAGACGGUUUUGCUGUCACUUAUAGAUGGAUCCGCGCCGCAUUAGCUAGUUGGUAAGGUAACGGCUUACCAAGGCAACGAUGCGUAGCCGACCUGAGAGGGUGAUCGGCCACACUGGAACUGAGACACGGUCCAGACUCCUACGGGAGGCAGCAGUAGGGAAUCUUCCGCAAUGGGCGAAAGCUUGACGGAGCAACGCCGCGUGAGUGAUGAAGGUCUUCGGAUCGUAAAACUCUGUUAUUAGGGAAGAACAAAUGUGUAAGUAACUAUGCACGUCUUAACGGUACCUAAUCAGAAAGCCACGGCUAACUACGUG
rnacentral:rRNA from 1 species